UCGUUGGCUUCUCCAUUGACCAGACCAUUAGUCUCCCUCCUCCCCGUGCACGACACCCUGAACAGGAGUGAAUAGGACUUCACCAUGUGGCUGUUGCUGGGCUCAAACUCGUUGCUGGAGACCAGCAAGGACGGGUAGGAGCCAGGCUUGGUUUGGUUACUGUCAGGAUUCAAAGGCACCUGUUUUUUACCUGUAGGCACUUGUUUUAUUGGGCAGCUGACAUCCUGAAAGGAAAACAAGCAUAACCAGAAAUCUACUCAACACAAGCAUCUAAUGAGGAGUGAACUCUGCUUACCAUCCUUAUGGAAGAACCCAGUGAAGGUUAACUGUAAAUGUGAAGACAAGCUAAAAGAGCCAAAAGGAAAGUGCACAGAUCUGUUACCUUGGAGAAUCCUGCUCUCCCUUCAUCUUCUCCACUAUCUGCAACAUGUCAUCCACUUUGAAUGUUUUCCUGGAUGGAAGGAUUAGAAAACAAAAGCAUGCAGGUUCCAAA